UUCAUUAGCCCAAAGCAAGCUGUGGUUCCUGUGGAGACAGAAAGGGUAGCAGCAGUUACUGGCAGUUACUCUUCCCCAGUCUCCCUACCACAUGUUCCACGUUCUACGAAUUCAGUUGACUUCAACAGUCCUGCCACAGAGAAGUGGCCUUCGUAAAAGAAAAAAAAAAGAAUCCACACAGCUGACAUGUGGUGGGGAUUUAAACCCAGUUCUGAAUACCAGAAGUCCAAGAUCAAGGUGCUGGAAGAUUGCACACAUGGAAGGACUGCUUUCUGUCUCAUAGCUGGUGGCAUCUCGCUGUGUCUUCAUAUGGUAGAAGAGAAAAAGGUCUGGCUUGGACAUUUUUAAUGAGAACUAGAGUGUCAUUAUGGAAGAAUGAAAACUUUCAACUGAAUAACCUCUCAAAGACCCCUCACCUCUUGUACCACCUCCUAAUGAUGUAUGAUUUCAAGAAUUUUUACAUAGAUACAGAUGUUGAGACCAUAAUAGGCAUCCUGACCCUUGGAAGCAAUGUAGUUAACAUUUGGGGAGGAAAGAAACCUUCAACUUCCUCUGCUAGUGUUUCAUGAGAAUUUCUGUUUCAGUUCUGAAGACUUACGUGUUUGUGGCCUCUCCGCUGCCACCAUAGAAGAUCAGAAUCGUACAGGGAAUGAAAAAGUGCUUAUAGCAUUUCACUGUCUCGUUUCUCCCAUCUUUAGAGCAAGUCACUAUGGAGACCUGAUCAAGGACCUCUCUCAGUUCUUAUAGCUGUACCAACAGAUGGUAGCACCAAGAAGAAAUUGCUUUGGUACUUUAAUCACCAGCCCAUGGGGUGAGAACAGAGGCUGAGCAGUUGCACAGCUACCAGACAGACCUCCAAGAAGAGAUGGAACAUAAUUUUAUAAAGCUAUUUAUAAAUCCAGAACACUGAUGAACGUCAAAGCACUUUUUGAUCAAAGCUGAGACAAGCAAAGUUCAUCGAUAAGAAUUCAGUCUUAUUUUCUUCCCCAGUUAAAAUAAAGCCUGUAUGGCAAGAGUCAUGGACAUGAAAA